GGGUAACCUGCCUGUAAGACCGGGAUAACUCCGGGAAACCGGUGCUAAUACCGGAUAGAUUAUCUUUCCGCCUGGAGAGAUAAGGAAAGAUGGCUAUUGCCAUCACUUACAGAUGGGCCCGCGGCGCAUUAGCUAGUUGGUGAGGUAACGGCUCACCAAGGCGACGAUGCGUAGCCGACCUGAGAGGGUGAUCGGCCACACUGGGACUGAGACACGGCCCAGACUCCUACGGGAGGCAGCAGUAGGGAAUCUUCCGCAAUGGACGAAAGUCUGACGGAGCAACGCCGCGUGAGCGAAGAAGGUCUUCGGAUCGUAAAGCUCUGUUGUUAGGGAAGAACAAGUAUCGGAGGAAAUGCCGGUACCUUGACGGUACCUGACGAGAAAGCCACGGCUAACUACGUGC
rnacentral:rRNA from 1 species